rnacentral:lncRNA from 1 species
UUUUCUCACAUGUCCUUAAAAAGACAGAUAGAGCUACAGAUGAUUAUCAGUCUGAGCCUGGGAUCUUGCUCCUCCUGCCUAAACUGCCUCAUGGAACAGAAUGUCAGCGAACAGAAAGCCCUGGGGCUUCUAGACUUGAGCUGGAAAUUAGA